rnacentral:tRNA from 1 species
AGGGGCUUAGGUUCAACUUAGACCAAGGGCCUUCAAAGCCCUAAGCGAGGGUGAGAAUCCCCCAGCCCCUG